rnacentral:SRP_RNA from 1 species
AUUUGUACCCCAUUCAAGUAGAGAACUGUGAACCAGGUCAGGAGCGGAAGCUAGCAGCCUUAAGCAGUAUCGCUAUUGUGAGUGGUAAGUGCAAGUCCC